UAUGAGAAAUAAACUACAGGCCUAAGCAUGCAGAAGAACAGUCUUCCUGACUGAAUUUACGCUUGAGCUCCAUUACAAUUCAUCCUGAGGACAACAUGAAUGUCUGAACCAAAAGGGACAAAGAGCCGCUGGGAUCCAUCCCCACAGUGCAUCACGGCCACUGGCUGCCUCAGACCACUCAACACCUCCUGGGCACAGUAGCAGUUGUGUUUGUGUUUCCUGGGUAACAAGGGAGACAAAAGGUGUAGUAGAACUCACGGCAGAAGUCCUGGCAGAGCCGCGGCAGAUCUGGCUCCCUGUGUGGCAUCUUAUCCAUGUCCAAGGAGUGGAACAACACCUGGGCAUUGGGGGAGCAGCGAGCACACUUGAUCUCCUCCAGGAGACGUCCACAUUCGGUGUUGUUGGUGGAGAAAAUCUGGAGACCACA